rnacentral:rRNA from 1 species
UACGUAGGGCGCAAGCGUUUGUCCGGAUUUAUUGGGCGUAAAGAGCUCGUAGGCGGUUUGUCGCGUCGGCCGUGAAAACUUGGGGCUUAACCCCAAGCCUGCGGUCGAUACGGGCAGACUUGAGUUCGGCAGGGGAGACUGGAAUUCCUGGUGUAGCGGUGGAAUGCGCAGAUAUCAGGAGGAACACCGAUGGCGAAGGCAGAUCUCUGGGCCGUAACUGACGCUGAGGAGCGAAAGCGUGGGGAGCGAACAGG